UCGUUGAAAGCCGGCCCUUUUUUAUGUAGGUUUCAUCGCCGCAUGGUUGGUUCGUGCUACGCCAGCAUAUAAUGUCACGACGCGUCGUCGUGUUUUUGCGUGGUUCGAACGUGUACUUUCGCGAUUCUAAACCGAACGAACAGUACGGUAACACCUGAGAAAUUCGGACUGCUAACGGCAGUCUGUGUGUCUGUUGACAACCCUCUCUGGGUUUCGCGCGGGCCUGAGCUGUCUCUGUCCCUUUCGUCACCAUCAUGUCAACCACGUCGAUAUUGAAGAAACGUAGUCCGUCGACAUCGACCGUCGUGGUCGAGAACCGCGUGGGAUUCAAGCUGCCUUCCGCCGACGAGAUUGACGUCCAGGUGGCUUUCACGGAAGCCAACAAGUCGAACGUCAUGGACAGCAACUACAGGCAGCUGAUCAGUGUCCUCAAGUCGGCUGACACCGACGAUGAAGCGCUGGUGAGGUUGCUGAAACGCAUCAAGAACUCUGCACCGCUGAUUGAAAGGCACAAUGACGAAGUGCUGGAUUGCGUUCUGAGAAUCAACCUGCUCAGGAGGAAUGUUCACGUCAUAGACGCAUUUUCACAGCUAGCCUGCGAUAUGGUCUUCAUCCACCCCGUGAUCCUGAGGAACAUCGUCGUAGCUCUCCUAGGCACCUUCAUGUCUCCAGAAGCCACCUCAAAGGACACACCAGAGCGGGAAGAAAAAUUCCAGAGGCUUCACGCACUUCUCCGGCUGCUCUUCAAGCUUGUGCCAACGGCUCCCGCACGGCUGAUUGAGAUUCUCGCCGAGGUGUUUCCCUACAUGAAACGCGAGGGCGCCCAGCAGGCAUCCCUCGUGGGUCAUCUUCUGCGCCUGACCUCCUACAUCCCCGACCAUAGGCUGGAGUUGCUGCAGCUGCUCACCCACAAGGCGUUGCAGAUUGACCUGCACUGCCCCAAGGAUGAAAUAAAUGAAGCUGAGCUCGAAGACGAGGACGAUGCCAUGGAAGGAGGCGACAUUUUUGAAAUGGAAAAAGUCAACGGAACCGACUCGGAACGUAUGCAGCAUCCCCUUGCCGACAUUCUGGACCAGGUUCUCAAUCAGUUCUACCUGCAUUUUCAACAACACUGCAAUGCCAAAGAUGGUGAGCUGUCCAAGCUGGACUGGGAGAAGACUAAAGUGCUCUUCAAGGACUUCCUGACCAUCUUCGACAAGAUAGUCCUGCCGACGCACAAGUGCUGCCACGUCCAGUUCCUCCUCUUCUACCUGUGCAGCUUCCGGCCCGCGGCCCUGGCAGUUGCAUUCCUGGACUACCUCUGGAAGAAAGUCCAGAACCCGGCCACAUCGUGCAUCGUGCGGCAAGCGUCGGCAUUCUACAUCGGGAGCUUUCUGGCCCGGGCGAAAUAUGUGCCUCUCAGCACGGUGUGCGACUCUCUGUCCUUGAUGUGCCAAUGGGCACACGGCUACAUGGCCUCGCUGAACGACGGCGGAUUCUGUCAACCGCAGCACGAUGUCCAGCGGCACGGGACCUUCUACGCCGUCUGCCAGACGGUCUUCUACGUGUUUGCCUUCCACCACAAGGGCAUUGCAGAUGGCGAGAAAGGCCUGCAGUACCUGCGCGACCUGAACUUGGAGGCCCUCGUGAUGUGCCCGCUGAACCCCCUGAAGGCCUGCCUGCCCGGCGUGGUCAAGCAGUUCGCCUCGAUAGCACGCCACUACCAGCUUGUCUACUGCUACAGUGUCAUCGAGCGCAACCAGCGUCUUGCCCUGCCCACGGCCGGCGGGGACAGCGCACCGUACGGGGACACAGUCCUCGAUGCAUUCUUCCCGUUUGACCCCUAUGUGCUGAAGCGCACUGGCAAAUGGAUUGAUCCCCUCUACAGGAAGUUCGAGAAGUCUGACGACGAUGACGACGCAGACUUGGAUGACGAACCCGAGUGAAAAAUGCACGAGUACGACACGGACAGCGUUCUGCCACGUGCGACUGCCGGGGAAGACUGGCAGCGCCGCCUGCUUAGCGGCACAGCACCGUAGUCUCGGUCCUGGGACGAGCAAAAGUGCAAGCAGCACGGUCUGCUCGGUGCAUGGAUGAUGACGACGAACUGAUGUGCAAGUCGCCCAAGUCACCGAGCUGCGUCGCCGAAAUGUUCAGUUACGGCACGUCGCCUGGCUUCAAGCGCAGUCUAUCUUUUGGUCACCACCGAUAGUUCGGAAGCUAGUAGCGUAAUUAAAGAAAUCUGGGAUUUAAUGUUAGACGCUACCAGUGCGAUGCAGAGGGGUGGCUUUUAAUCUUUUCUUGCUACUUUUGAUGCCACCACAGCGAUACUGCCACUCGCGGACAAAAGGUCGGAAGGAAGUGUUUGACUUCUAAUCGCAGCAUCACGCAAAGACUAUGGGGAUGUCACUCGUCUAGGUUCUUCUGUGAUGGGAAAUGGCUAACGACAGUCUCCUCUGCUACUCUGAAGUGCUAUAGCUUUAAUUCUUUGGAUAUUUAUAGGAAGUAAAAUGUAAAUAUGGAAGCAAGUAAUGGUUGAGCUGUCAUUAAAGGUACGGGAAGGGUCAGAAGUUUACGGACACUCGAUCUGAGAAGACGAAUAUUUUCUGUGCUUCGGCAUGCAGCCUGGAUUUUAAACGCUUACUUGUGCCAGUGUAUGCGACCGAGGCAGUGUAGUACUGUUAUAAUGGCUGCAAGCCGAGAAGCUAGGCUGAGGUUAGACUUUUUUUUUCGCAGAACCUGAAUGCUGUAAACUUCUUACCCUGCCUGUACAUCUCCAUUCUUUUAAACGCUAAAUCCACGCAUUCUAUGAACUAAAGGAUUUUGUACAGCGAAUGUGGACAUGACAUUACUUGGUGAUUUGUAUAUUACCUGCUGGCCAAGCCCUUGUAAAUUUAAAAUCAUAUUGCGAAAUAAAU